AUGGUGUCCACCAUGGCCUGGUCCCCUCUCCUCUUCACCCUCCUCACUCACUGCACAGGAUCCUGGGCCCAGUCUGUGCUGACUCAGCCUCCCUUGGUGUCUGGGGCUCUGGGGCAGACCGUCACUAUUUCAUGCACUGUCAGCGACUCCAGUUUUUGGGGUGGUGAAUUUAUACACUGGUACCAGCAACUCCCAGGAGCGGCCCAGAAACUUCUCAUCUAUGGUAACAACAAUGGUCCUUCUGGGGUCCCCAGUCGAUUUUCUGGCUCCAAGUCUGGCAACUCCCACUCUCUGACCAUCACUGGGCUCCAGCCUGAAGAUGAGGCUGAUUAUUACUGCCAAUACUUUGAUGACAGAGUCAUUACACAAUGCUGCAGGCCUGUGGGGAAGUGA